AUGAACGCUAGCGACAGGCUUAACACAUGCAAGUCGAGGGGCAGCGGGGUGUAGCAAUACACCGCCGGCGACCGGCGCACGGGUGAGUAACGCGUAUGCAACUUGCCUAUCAGAGGGGGAUAACCCGGCGAAAGUCGGACUAAUACCGCAUGAAGCAGGGGCCCCGCAUGGGGAUAUUUGCUAAAGAUUCAUCGCUGAUAGAUAGGCAUGCGUUCCAUUAGGCAGUUGGCGGGGUAAUGGCCCACCAAACCGACGAUGGAUAGGGGUUCUGAGAGGAAGGUCCCCCACAUUGGUACUGAGACACGGACCAAACUCCUACGGGAGGCAGCAGUGAGGAAUAUUGGUCAAUGGGCGUAAGCCUGAACCAGCCAAGUCGCGUGAGGGAUGAAGGUUCUAUGGAUCGUAAACCUCUUUUAUAAGGGAAUAAAGUGCGGGACGUGUCCCGUUUUGUAUGUACCUUAUGAAUAAGGAUCGGCUAACUCCGUGCCAGCAGCCGCGGUAAUACGGAGGAUCCGAGCGUUAUCCGGAUUUAUUGGGUUUAAAGGGUGCGUAGGCGGCCUUUUAAGUCAGCGGUGAAAGUCUGUGGCUCAACCAUAGAAUUGCCGUUGAAACUGGGGGGCUUGAGUAUGUUUGAGGCAGGCGGAAUGCGUGGUGUAGCGGUGAAAUGCUUAGAUAUCACGCAGAACCCCGAUUGCGAAGGCAGCCUGCCAAGCCAUGACUGACGCUGAUGCACGAAAGCGUGGGGAUCAAACAGGAUUAGAUACCCUGGUAGUCCACGCAGUAAACGAUGAUCACUAGCUGUUUGCGAUACAGUGUAAGCGGCACAGCGAAAGCGUUAAGUGAUCCACCUGGGGAGUACGCCGGCAACGGUGAAACUCAAAGGAAUUGACGGGGGCCCGCACAAGCGGAGGAACAUGUGGUUUAAUUCGAUGAUACGCGAGGAACCUUACCCGGGUUUGAACGCAUUCGGACCGAGGUGGAAACACCUUUUCUAGCAAUAGCCGUUUGCGAGGUGCUGCAUGGUUGUCGUCAGCUCGUGCCGUGAGGUGUCGGCUUAAGUGCCAUAACGAGCGCAACCCUUGCCACUAGUUACUAACAGGUAAAGCUGAGGACUCUGGUGGGACUGCCAGCGUAAGCUGCGAGGAAGGCGGGGAUGACGUCAAAUCAGCACGGCCCUUACAUCCGGGGCGACACACGUGUUACAAUGGCGUGGACAAAGGGAAGCCACCUGGCGACAGGGAGCGAAUCCCCAAACCACGUCUCAGUUCGGAUCGGAGUCUGCAACCCGACUCCGUGAAGCUGGAUUCGCUAGUAAUCGCGCAUCAGCCAUGGCGCGGUGAAUACGUUCCCGGGCCUUGUACACACCGCCCGUCAAGCCAUGGGAGCCGGGGGUACCUGAAGUCCGUAACCGCGAGGAUCGGCCUAGGGUAAAACUGGUGACUGGGGCU
rnacentral:rRNA from 1 species